rnacentral:rRNA from 1 species
AUUGAACGCUGGCGGGAGGCUUAACACAUGCAAGUCGAACGAGUGGCGGACGGGUGAGUAAUAUAUGGGAAACUGCCCGGUGGCGGGGGAUAACUACUGGAAAGGGUAGCUAAUACCGCAUACCAUCGGAUGUGCCCAGAUGGGAUUAGCUAGUUGGUGGGGUAACGGCUCACCUAGGCGACGAUCCCUAGCUGGUUUGAGAGGAGGACCAGCCACACUGGAACUGAGACACGGCCCAGACUCCUACGGGAGGCAGCAGUGGGGAAUAUUGCACAAUGGGCGAAAGCCUGAUGCAGCCAUGCCGCGUGUAUGAAGAAGGCCUUCGGGUUGUAAAGUACUUUCAGCGAGGAGGCGGUACUCGCAGAAUAAGCACCGGCUAACUCCGUGCCAGCAGCCGCGGUAAUUC